CCUACGGGCGGCAGCAGUGGGGGAUAUUGCACAAUGGGGGAAACCCUGAUGCAGCGACGCCGCGUGAGUGAAGAAGUAUUUCUGUAUGUAAAGCUCUAUCAGCAGGGAAGAAAAUGACAGUACCUGACCAAGAAGCCCCGGCUAACUACGUGCCAGCAGCCGCGGUAAUACGUAGGGGGCAAGCGUUAUCCGGAUUUACUGGGUGUAAAGGGAGCGUAGACGGUUAUGUAAGUCUGGAGGGAAAGCACGGGGGCCCACCCCGGGACUGCUUUUGAAACUGUGUAACUGGAGUAGACGAGGGGCACGCGGAAUUCCUGGUGUAGCGGUGAAAUGCGUAGAUAUCAGGCGGAACACCGGCGGCGAAGGCGGCGUGCUGGCGUGAAACUGACGUUGAGGCUCGAAGGCGUGGGUAGCAAACAGGAUUAGAUACCCCAGUAGUC
rnacentral:rRNA from 1 species